AAUAUUGGACAAUGGGGGGAACCCUGAUCCAGCCAUGCCGCGUGUGUGAAGAAGGUCUCGGAUUGUAAAGCACUUUAAGUUGGGAGGAAGAGUUGUAGGCUAAUACCUUGCAAUUUUGACGUUACCAACAGAAUAAGCACCGGCUAACUUCGUGCCAGCAGCCGCGGUAAUACUAAGGGUGCAAGCGUUAAGCGGAAUUACUGGGCGUAAAGCGGGCGUAGGUGGUUUGUUAAGUUGGAAGUGAAAGCCCCGGGCUCAACCUGGGAACUGCUUUCAAAACUGGCAAGCUAGAGUACGGUAGAGGGUAGUGGAAUUUCCUGUGUAGCGGUGAAAUGCGUAGAUAUAGGAAGGAACAUCAGUGGCGAAGGCGACUACCUGGACUGUAACUGACGCUGAGGCACGAAAGUGUGGGGAUCAAACAGG
rnacentral:rRNA from 1 species